rnacentral:rRNA from 1 species
GACGAACGCUGGCGGCGUGCUUAACACAUGCAAGUCGAACGGAAAGGCCCUGCUUUUGUGGGGUGCUCGAGUGGCGAACGGGUGAGUAACACGUGAGUAACCUGCCCUUGACUUUGGGAUAACUUCAGGAAACUGGGGCUAAUACCGGAUAGGAGCUCCUGCUGCAUGGUGGGGGUUGGAAAGUUUCGGCGGUUGGGGAUGGACUCGCGGCUUAUUAGCUUGUUGGUGGGGUAGUGGCUUACCAAGGCUUUGACGGGUAGCCGGCCUGAGAGGGUGACCGGCCACAUUGGGACUGAGAUACGGCCCAGACUCCUACGGGAGGCAGCAGUGGGGAAUAUUGCACGAUGGGCGGAAGCCUGAUGCAGCAACGCCGCGUGCGGGAUGACGGCCUUCGGGUUGUAAACCGCUUUCGCCUGUGACGAAGCGUGAGUGACGGUAAUGGGUAAAGAAGCACCGGCUAACUACGUG